UUACACUGAAACACCGGUUCCCAUAUGAUCACCGAAGUUAAGCAACGUCGAGCCUGGUCAUUACCUAGGUGGGUAACCGCUAGGGAAUACCAGGUGAUGUAA